rnacentral:rRNA from 1 species
AUUGAACGCUGGCGGCAGGCCUAACACAUGCAAGUCGAACGAGUGGCGGACGGGUGAGUAAUGUCUGGGAAACUGCCCGAUGGAGGGGGAUAACUACUGGAAACGGUAGCUAAUACCGCAUACCAUCGGAUGUGCCCAGAUGGGAUGAGCUUGUAGGUGAGGUAACGGCUCACCUAGUCGACGCUCCCUAGCUGGUCUGAGAGGAUGAACAGUGACACUGGAACUUAGACACGGUCCAGACUCCUACGGGAGGACGCAGUGGGGAAUAUGGCACAAUGGGCGCAAGCCUGAUGCAGCCAUGCCGCGUGUAUGAAGAAGGCCUUCGGGUUGGAAAGUACUUUCAGCGGGGAGGCGUUACCCGCAGAAGAAGCACCGGCUAACUCCGGGCCAGCCGCCGCGGUAAUAC